UACGUAGGGUGCAAGCGUUUAAUCGGAAUUACUGGGCGUAAAGCGUGCGCAGGCGGUUUUGUAAGUUUGUCGUGAAAUCCCCGGGCUCAACCUGGGAAUUGCGAUGAAGACUGCAAGGCUAGAAUCUGGCAGAGGGGGGUAGAAUUCCACGUGUAGCAGUGAAAUGCGUAGAGAUGUGGAGGAACACCGAUGGCGAAGGCAGCCCCCUGGGUCAAGAUUGACGCUCAUGCACGAAAGCGUGGGGAGCAA
rnacentral:rRNA from 1 species